GGUGUGGUUGUGGUGGUGGGGUCUGGGGAUCCUCCGUGCAGGUAGGCAAGCGUGUUAACAGGGGUGACGCACAGUGGUAGCCCGGCGGACCUGAUGGCUUGGUCCGUUCAAGCGCGCAGCCCGUCCUCCAGGUAAAUCCGGGGGACUGUCUUUGAUGACGGGGGUGAGGCGUGAUGGUGACCUCACACUGGUGGGGGAUAACAGGGUGAUCCUGGGGUGCCGAGAAAAGCCUCGACGCGAUGGUGCCAGCCGCCCGUACCCUAAACCGACACAGGUGGUCGGGCAGAGUAUGCCUAGGCGCACGAGUGAAUCAUGGUUAAGGAACUCGGCAAAAUGCCCCCGUAACUUCGGGAGAAGGGGGGCCUGAUCCCUGAAGCCCCAUCGCGGGCUAGGGGGGAGGGUCGCAGAGGCCAGGGGGAAGCGACUGUUUACUAAAAACACAGGUCCGUGCGAAGCCGUAAGGCGAUGUAUACGGACUGACGCCUGCCCGGUGCUGGAAGGUUAAGAGGAACCAUCAACCCUCGGGUGAAGUGGUGAAUUUAAGCCCCAGUAAACGGCGGUGGUAACUAUAACCAUCCUAAGGUAGCGAAAUUCCUUGUCGGGUAAGUUCCGACCUGCACGAAUGGCGUAACGACUUCCCCGCUGUCUCAACCAUGAGCUCGGCGAAAUUGCAGUACGAGUAAAGAUGCUCGUUUCGCGCAGAAGGACGGAAAGACCCCGGGACCUUUACUACAGCUUGGUAUUGGCGCCCGCUAUAGCUUGUGCAGGAUAGGUGGGAGACUGUGAAGCCGUUACGCCAGUGGCGGUGGAGUCGUCCUUGAAAUACCACUCUGGUUAUGGCGUGCGCCUGAACCUGGGCCCGUGAUCCGGGUUAGGGACAGUGCCUGGUGGGUAGUUUAACUGGGGCGGUUGCCUCCUAAAGUGUAACGGAGGCGCUCAAAGGUUCCCUCAGCCUGGUCGGCAACCAGGUGUUGAGUGCAAGUGCACAAGGGAGCUUGACUGUGAGACCGACGGGUCGAGCAGGUACGAAAGUAGGAACUAGUGAUCCGGCGAUCCCGUGUGGGUGGGUCGUCGCUCAACGGAUAAAAGGUACCCCGGGGAUAACAGGCUGAUCCUGCCCAAGAGUCCAUAUCGACGGCAUGGUUUGGCACCUCGAUGUCGGCUCGUCGCAUCCUGGGGCUGGAGCAGGUCCCAAGGGUUGGGCUGUUCGCCCAUUAAAGCGGUACGCGAGCUGGGUUUAGAACGUCGUGAGACAGUUCGGUCCCUAUCCUCUGCGCGCGCAGGAGACUUGAGAAGGCCUGUCCCUAGUACGAGAGGACCGGGACGGACGAACCUCUGGUGUGCCAGUUGUCCCGCCCGGGGCACGGCUGGUUGGCUACGUUCGGGAAGGGUAACCGCUGAAAGCAUCUAAGCGGGAAACCAUCUUCAAGAUAAGGUCUCCACAAGAAGGACUUGUCCUUCUUGGUAGGCCCCCAGCAGACUACUGGGUUGAUAGGCCAGAAGUGGAAGACCGGUAACGGCCUCGAGCUGACUGGUACUAAUCGGCCGACACAAACAACAA
rnacentral:rRNA from 1 species